rnacentral:sRNA from 20 species
GUAAUGCCUCACGCCCGUGGGGUAGGACAGGUGUAAUGGGGGACACCUGUUCACACUAAAAGCGUCC